ACGCUCGACACCUGGGAGGCAGCAGUGGGGAAUAUUGCACAAUGGGGGAAACCCUGAUGCAGCAACGCCGCGUGAAGGAAGACGGUUUUCGGAUUGUAAACUUCUGUUCUUAGUGAAGAUAGUGACGGUAGCUAAGGAGCAAGCCACGGCUAACUACGUGCCAACAGCCGCGGUAAUCUGAGCGGGCUGGCAAGGC
rnacentral:rRNA from 1 species